UACGGAGGGUGCGAGCGUUGUUCGGAUUUAUUGGGCGUAAAGGGUGCGUAGGCGGCGGAGUAAGUUGGGUGUGAAAUCCCGGGGCUUAACCUCGGAAUUGCAUUCAAUACUGCUUCGCUUGAGUACUGGAGAGGAGGCUGGAAUUUACGGUGUAGCAGUGAAAUGCGUAGAUAUCGUAAGGAAGGCCGGUGGCGAAAGCGAGCCUCUGGACAGUUACUGACGCUGAUGCACGAAGGCCAGGGGGAGCAAACGGG
rnacentral:rRNA from 1 species